GAGCCACCUGCAUGGAAUAGCUUGUAGGAUCAGAGCCUAAGUUAUUUCAUGUGAGGUGUGUACGGCAGUUAGAGAAAGUAGCACUUACAUAAAUCAAUGUAUCAUCUUAAAAUGAACAACGUGGCAAUUGAAGAAACCUUGUAAUUAUUUUUUUCAUCCUGCUUUAAUCUUGCUUUUGCAAAUCUCUUGCCAAAAGUCACUUGAGGGGAUUUCAAAUGAAUUACAGUAAUAAAGUCAGAAGCAUUUGUCUUUGAUGGCAAUGUUUUGGGAAAUCUAAGGCCAGUUUGUCUACACAGGACUGUUUCCUUCCAAAAGCUGGCUGCAUGUCUGUAAGUUAGCAACAAAUCUGUCCUUUUGGUAUCAGAUGCUGAUGACUGAAUCUUUGCCUGUGGCACUUCAGCACCUCGGUGCUCUCAUGCUCUGCAAUGCCAGCCAGGGCGUAGAAAGCAAACACACCUGAGAAAUGCCAGCUGCACAAGUUGCUGUCAGCUACAGUACAGACAAUUCAUGUCACUUCAACAGAAAGAACUAAUAUCUUGUUUACAUUGAAACAAAUGCACCUUUCUUUUUUCCAAUUGUCUGCAUUACAGGUCUGCAAAGUCAUCUUAGUCCUCCUGCCCAAGCAAGACUGCUCCCUGCAGUAUUUUCUAGUGUGCUGUCCAGUCCAGCUUUAAAUGACCUAGCAGAAAGGGGUUUCUGCUACUUCCCUUCAGAGUCUCUCUCUCUCUCUAGUUUUGAAUACAUAGAGAUCAAAAUCAUUUUGAUGAAGAAUUUCUGACCUGCUCUACUGACCAUGUUGGGGAGCCUGAGGAGGUGCAUGCACUAGAGGCAUUUGGCACCUGGGAAGGUGAGAAACAGAGAGCUCAAUGGUUGGCCUUGCGGGGAAUGUGGAAGACAGGGAUAAUAACAAGUGGCAGGCUUCGCAGGUAUAGGUCUUUGGGGCACACACGUGCUUUGCCAAGCUGUGAUCAGCUUCACUGAUUCAGCAGGCCAGCUGCAGCUUCUGUUCACCACACUGGACUUGGUGGGUGGGCAGGAAGGUUAGUGAUGCAGUGGAGCCAGAAUGCCAUUCUGGGACUAUUAAGCAACAGCAGUGUUGUAACUGAGCCAAAAGGGGGCCUGGUCCCAGUAUUCUGUCAUCCUUGAGUGCUGGGGUGGAUGCACUAACCCACGAGGAGCAGCACGUUGCGGGCUUGGCCUCACAACACUCCAGAGUGAAGAAUAGCGCUCCCACUGCAGCCAGAAGAGGUACACGGUGACCUCGCACCAGUUCCCUUCCAAGCAGGACAGGGGGCUUGGUGGAUCCUUCGCACUGAUGUAGUGUCAAGGCAAGGUUGUAGGCAGCCACACCUAGUAGUCAGAGCCAGAGUCCACAGUCAUGAGACAGGAGUCAAUGGUCAGCUGGAACAGGAUAGCUGGAGGAUUUCAGAAGCAUGAGACAAAUUGGCGAUCAGAACUAUGAGUCAGGAACCAGAAUCAGGCCAGGUCAGGAUACCAAGAAGCCAAUUUCUUUCUCUUGAGAGUUAGGAAGGAACUUUGCCUGGGGGCAGGUUAUCCCAUAACUAGCUAUUGCAGGAUUUCUUGGCCCUUUCUCAAGCAUAUGGUACUGGCUAUGGUUACAAGACAGGAUACUGGACUAAAGGGCACUGGAGGCUGAUUUCUCAGGCCAAUUCUUAUGUUUAUGAAAGCAGUAUCAAACAUUAACUGACAGAGACAGAGGCAAAGCCUUGCAAACAGGACCAUUCCUAGUAUUCAGGGGUGCAAUGUCACCCUCUUUC
rnacentral:lncRNA from 1 species